ensembl:lncRNA
AACAGAUGACCCAAUGUUGCUUAAGUUAGAACAUGCACCGCGUGUGCCCAGCUCCCCGGGAAGUGGGGUUGGCGCGUGUGGGUUUUUCUAAAGAGAAAUAUGGCCCGUAAUUUAAAAAUGCAUCCCCCCUCCUCAGGGGUAGCCAAAAUAACAAGUGGACUGCAAGGUAAACCUGUUUAAUGAAAAGCCGAGGGCCGUGGUGGGCAUCUCUUGCUAAAAGGGAGAAGAAAAUUUUGAGACCAUCACAGACAAUGCUGCUACAACCAGUCUUGUACAUAAACCUUGGGACACGUGUACCGGUUGCUCCAAGCAUAGGACUGAAAUACCAAAUCUCAGGCAUGGUCAAUGAGUGGAGUACAUCUGUACCUGGGAUCUGAAGUCGCAAACCUGGGCCGCGGAAGCAGAACAUGUGAAACUUUAACCACUCAGCCCCAGAUUCACGCAAGGAUGGGAGAGGAAACAAGACUGGAGGAGGCAAGGCCGACUUCACUUCAGCAGGCAAGGAGAAGGCUGGAUAGUCAUUGAUAAACCGUGGGGGGUCCUCCAUCGGCUUCCCGACAAACACUGACAGACCACAUCAUUCAGAGAGAUUUUCAAAUUAAUAGGAAAAAAUCAAGCUACAGAACAGCAUGUUUAUCAUACUACCAUUGGUGUAAAGAACGGAAAAAGAAUAGAUGUCUGCAUUUAUGUACAUGCAUAGAAGUGCUUCAGAAGUUGAGGAAACACACAAAUUCCUAUGAAUCAGAGAGAUAUUUCCCAGUAUCAAGCUUUGUAAGAAUGGCCAGGACGUCUACAAUCAAAUGCUCGGAUGAAGCAGAGAGAAGUCUGUGACGUCAUGGCGGCUACCUCGCACCAUCAGCUAGAGAUGUAUUCUCUAUGUGAGGUUCACAGGAUCACCUUCCACAGUGGGAGCAUUUUAUUAUGAAGCAUCUCCAAUUUAUGCCCAGGAAUAGCCAACCUGACAUUCUCCCUAGAGCUCACCUGUACUAUAGGUCAUCGUUAGCCAGGGCCUGCCUUCUAAGGGCCUUUCAGAGACAAUACUUCCACCUCCUAAUAAAUGUCAGUAAGUCUAUUUACCUGGAGGUCCAGAUUACCGAAGUUAGACUAAGUCCCUUUGAGGCAUGUUCCCUGUAAAGGAGUGAGUAGAUCUCAGACAGCUAAUUUAACUCCCUCCCAGAAGGAUUCAUUAAAAUGUCUCGGGGAAGUUGGACAGCUGGGAAUGAGUGUUGGGUUAACAAUUCUUUGUACUGAAUCCUCACUGUUAACAAACUGGUGAGGUUUCUGUCCUCUGAGUAGACACUGAUGGAUGAACCCCUUCUGCCGCCCUGAAGAGCUGUUUGAAUCUUCUCUGUGGAAAUCUUGGUAAAUUUCUCAUCCAGGAUAAUCAGAAGUAAACAAAUACUUAGUAAACAUUCAUCUUUCUUCUGAAAUUAAAAUGACAGAGACUCCUAAUGACAGGACAGAAGAACACAAAGGGAGACUGAGCCAACAGGCCACUUAUUUUGGCAAAGUAUGUGCCUUGAUACUACAGUGAAAAUAGAGCGUUACAAUUAUUGUUACUGAAACUGACUGGAAAAAUACAGUUCAAUGACUUCAAAAAUAGGAAGACACUUUGACCUUGAAACUGGAAACAUCA